rnacentral:rRNA from 1 species
UGGUGGCAUGGUUGUCGUCAGCUCGUGUCGUGAGAUGUUGGGUUAAGUCCCGCAACGAGCGCAACCCCUAUUGUUAGUUGCCAUCAUUCAGUUGGGCACUCUAGCGAGACUGCCGGUAAUAAACCGGAGGAAGGUGGGGAUGACGUCAAAUCAUCAUGCCCCUUAUGACCUGGGCUACACACGUGCUACAAUGGUUGGUACAACGAGUUGCGAGUCGGUGACGGCGAGCUAAUCUCUUAAAGCCAGUCUCAGUUCGGAUUGUAGGCUGCAACUCGCCUACAUGAAGUCGGAAUCGCUAGUAAUCGCGGAUCAGCACGCCGCGGUGAAUACGUUCCCGGGCCUU